CGGCAUUCAUUUGUAUAAAAGGAUCAGCUUCACCACUUUACAACUCAGUUUAUAGUUGAAUUCGUGGUAAUCAGCAGACAUGAAAUUCUUUAUCUUCUUCGCUUUGUUGCUGGUCCUUUUAGGCACCGUUUUGGGUGAUGGAAAGCAUCCAUUGAAUAAUAAAGAACAAUCACACCAAAAACAACAACCAAGCCCAAGCCACGGCGCCCCACAACAAACAGCUGGACACCACAAGGAUUCCCACCAUGGCCACUAGAUAUGCCUCAACAUUGAAUGUAUGCGAUUGGAAUAUUUCUAUGCAAAGUACUUGGUUUGAAUAAAUAAAAAAUU